CCUACGGGAGGCAGCAGUCGAGAAUUAUUCACAAUGGGGGAAACCCUGAUGGUGCGACGCCGCGUGGGGGAAUGAAGGUCUUCGGAUUGUAAACCCCUGUCAUGUGGGCGCAAAUUAAAAAGAUAGUACCACAAGAGGAAGAGACGGCUAACUCUGUGCCAGCAGCCGCGGUAAUACAGAGGUCUCAAGCGUUGUUCGGAAUCACUGGGCGUAAGGCGUGCGGAGGCUGUUUCGUAAGUCGUGUGUGAAAGGCGCGGGCUCAACCCGCGGACGGCACAUGAUACUGCGAGACUAGAGUAAUGGAGGGGGAACCGGAAUUCUCGGUGUAGCAGUGAAAUGCGUAGAUAUCGAGAGGAACACUCGUGGCGAAGGCGGGUUCCUGGACAGUAACUGACGCUGAGGCACGAAGGCCAGGGGAGCGAAAGGGAUUAGAUACCCCUGUAGUC
rnacentral:rRNA from 1 species